GUCAGUUGAAUCAAGUAAAUACAACGUAACAAUCAGAAAAAUAUAUAUCCGGAUUGUCACAGUUUCAUGGUUCGGCACAGCCUGGAGAGUGUAGCUAAUCUCAUGGUUCGGAACAAAUCAACAUCCAUUACAAAUGUAGUGAGGAGCCGGAUGACCCACGCGCAAUAUAAUAUCUAACGAUGGAGUGGAGACAUUUUCAAGAUGCAAAUGAAAAGUGAGAGAGAACAUACCACAAAGAGGCUUCCACUACGUUUCACGCGGGACAAUGGCAUCAACAAAGCAGGGAAGAUAACUCUGAUGUGUCAAGACGGGGUAAACUGGAUGGUGAGCCUUACGAACGAAAACAAAGGUGGAAGAAUGAGACUAGGAAGAGGCUGGAAAGGAUUUUGUGAAGCUCAUGGUGUGAAGCUAGGAGAGUCCUUUGUGUUGGAACUCAUUUGGGAGAAAGAUGCAAGUCCUGUGCUUAGGUUCUGUAACAAAGUAAAUAGUACUGUGUGAGACUGUUGUUUAAAACAUGGAAGAUUGUUCACUUUUGUACACUCUUUUAUGUCUGCUUUAUCUGGAAUUAA